AGAGUUUGAUCAUGGCUCAGAUUGAACGCUGGCGGCAGGCCUAACACAUGCAAGUCGAACGGUAACAGGAAUCAGCUUGCUGAUUCGCUGACGAGUGGCGGACGGGUGAGUAAUGUCUGGGAAACUGCCUGAUGGAGGGGGAUAACUACUGGAAACGGUAGCUAAUACCGCAUAAUGUCGCAAGACCAAAGAGGGGGACCUUCGGGCCUCUUGCCAUCGGAUGUGCCCAGAUGGGAUUAGCUUGUUGGUGGGGUAACGGCUCACCAAGGCGACGAUCCCUAGCUGGUCUGAGAGGAUGACCAGCCACACUGGAACUGAGACACGGUCCAGACUCCUACGGGAGGCAGCAGUGGGGAAUAUUGCACAAUGGCGCAAGCCUGAUGCAGCCAUGCCGCGUGUAUGAAGAAGGCCUUCGGGUUGUAAAGUACUUUCAGCGGGGAGGAAGGGAGUAAAGUUAAUACCUUUGCUCAUUGACGUUAUCCGCAGAAGAAGCACCGGCUAACUCCGUGCCAGCAGCCGCGGUAAUACGGAGGGUGCAAGCGUUAAUCGGAAUUACUGGGCGUAAAGCGCACGCAGGCGGUUUGUUAAGUCAGAUGUGAAAUCCCCGGGCUCAACCUGGGAACUGCAUCUGAUACUGGCAAGCUUGAGUCUCGUAGAGGGGGGUAGAAUUCCAGGUGUAGCGGUGAAAUGCGUAGAGAUCUGGAGGAAUACCGGUGGCGAAGGCGGCCCCCUGGACGAAGACUGACGCUCAGGUGCGAAAGCGUGGGGAGCAAACAGGAUUAGAUACCCUGGUAGUCCACGCCGUAAACGAUGUCGACUUGGAGGUUGUGCCCUUGAGGCGUGGCUUCCGGAGCUAACGCGUUAAGUCGACCGCCUGGGGAGUACGGCCGCAAGGUUAAAACUCAAAUGAAUUGACGGGGGCCCGCACAAGCGGUGGAGCAUGUGGUUUAAUUCGAUGCAACGCGAAGAACCUUACCUGGUCUUGACAUCCACGGAAGUUUUCAGAGAUGAGAAUGUGCCUUCGGGAACCGUGAGACAGGUGCUGCAUGGCUGUCGUCAGCUCGUGUUGUGAAAUGUUGGGUUAAGUCCCGCAACGAGCGCAACCCUUAUCCUUUGUUGCCAGCGGUCCGGCCGGGAACUCAAAGGAGACUGCCAGUGAUAAACUGGAGGAAGGUGGGGACGACGUCAAGUCAUCAUGGCCCUUACGACCAGGGCUACACACGUGCUACAAUGGCGCAUACAAAGAGAAGCGACCUCGCGAGAGCAAGCGGACCUCAUAAAGUGCGUCGUAGUCCGGAUUGGAGUCUGCAACUCGACUCCAUGAAGUCGGAAUCGCUAGUAAUCGUGGAUCAGAAUGCCACGGUGAAUACGUUCCCGGGCCUUGUACACACCGCCCGUCACACCAUGGGAGUGGGUUGCAAAAGAAGUAGGUAGCUUAACCUUCGGGAGGGCGCUUACCACUUUGUGAUUCAUGACUGGGGUGAAGUCGUAACAAGGUAACCGUAGGGGAACCUGCGGUUGGAUCACCU
rnacentral:rRNA from 1 species